GGGUGGUGUUACAACUCAUGGAUCAUAACCAGUUACAGAUUCCUAUGUGCCUUCUCCACUUCCAUGGCUUCGUUUGACUAGCCUUAA
rnacentral:sRNA from 1 species